rnacentral:rRNA from 1 species
AAACUUGAGAGUUUGAUCAUGGCUCAGAACGUACGCUGGCGGCACGCCUAACACAUGCAAGUCGAACGAAGUAGCAAUACUUAGUGGCAGACGGGUGAGUAACAUGUAGGUAUCUGCCCUUUGGCCUGGAAUAACACGAGGAAACUUGUGCUAAUACUGGAUAAGUCUUUACGGAGAAAGCUUUAUGCACCAUUGGAUGAGCCUGCACUUGAUUAGUUUGUUGGUGGGGUAAUGGCCUACCAAGACUGUGAUCAAUAGCUGAUUUGAGAGGAUGAUCAGCCACAUUGGGACUGAGACACGGCCCAAACUCCUACGGGAGGCAGCAGUGGGGAAUCUUGCACAAUGGAGGAAACUCUGAUGCAGCGAUGCCGCGUGAGUGAAGAAGGCCUUUGGGUUGUAAAGCUCUUUCGUCGGGGAAGAAAAUGACUGUACCCGAAUAAGAAGGUCCGGCUAACUUCGUGCCAGCAGCCGCGGUAAUACGAAGGGACCUAGCGUAGUUCGGAAUUACUGGGCUUAAAGAGUUCGUAGGUGGUUGAAAAAGUUGGUGGUGAAAUCCCAGAGCUUAACUCUGGAACUGCCAUCAAAACUUUUCAGCUAGAGUAUGAUAGAGGAAAGCAGAAUUUCUAGUGUAGAGGUGAAAUUCGUAGAUAUUAGAAAGAAUACCAAUUGCGAAGGCAGCUUUCUGGAUCAUUACUGACACUGAGGAACGAAAGCAUGGGUAGCGAAGAGGAUUAGAUACCCUCGUAGUCCAUGCCGUAAACGAUGUGUGUUAGACGUUGGAAAUUUAUUUUCAGUGUCGCAGCGAAAGCGAUAAACACACCGCCUGGGGAGUACGACCGCAAGGUUAAAACUCAAAUGAAUUGACGGGGACCCGCACAAGUAGUGGAGCAUGUGGUUUAAUUCGAAGAUACGCGCAGAACCUUACCAACACUUGACAUGUUCGUCGCGACUCUAAGAGAUUAGAGUUUUCGGUUCGGCCGGACGAAACACAGGUGCUGCAUGGCUGUCGUCAGCUCGUGUCGUGAGAUGUUGGGUUAAGUCCCGCAACGAGCGCAACCCUCACUUUUAGUUGCCAUCAUUAAGUUGGGCACUCUGAAAGAACUGCCAGUGAUAAGCUGGAGGAAGGUGGGGAUGACGUCAAGUCCUCAUGGCCCUUACGUGUUGGGCUACACACGUGCUACAAUGGUAUCUACAACAGGAAGCAAGACUGCGAGGUCAAGCAAAUCCUUAAAAGAUACCUCAGUUCGGAUUGCACUCUGCAACUCGAGUGCAUGAAGCUGGAAUUACUAGUAAUCGUGGAUCAGCGUGCCACGGUGAAUGCGUUCCCGGGUCUUGUACACACCGCCCGUCACACCAUGGGAGUUGGUUCUACCUUAAGGCAAGGUUUAAAACCCUUGACCACGGUAUAGUCAGCGACUGGGGUGAAGUCGUAACAAGGUAGCCGUAGGGGAACCUGCGGCUGGAUUACCUCCUUU